rnacentral:rRNA from 1 species
ACCUAUUGGUUCGGAACAACUGAGGGAAACUUCAGCUAAUACCGGAUGAGCCCGAAAGGGGAAAGAUUUAUCGCCAAUAGAUCAGCCCGCGUCCGAUUAGCUAGUUGGUAGGGUAACGGCCUACCAAGGCGACGAUCGGUAGCUGUUCUGAGAGGAAGAUCAGCCACACUGGGACUGAGACACGGCCCAGACUCCUACGGGAGGCAGCAGUUGGGAAUCUUGGACAAUGGGGGAAACCCUGAUCCAGCCAUGCCGCGUGAGUGAUGAAGGCCUUCGGGUUGUAAAACUCUUUCGACGGGGACGAUAAUGACGGUACCCGUAGAAGAAGCUCCGGCUAACUUCGUGCCAGCAGCCGCGGUAAUACGAAGGGGGCUAGCGUUGUUCGGAAUUGCUGGGCGUAAAGCGCGCGCAGGCGGUUCUCCAAGUCAGUGGUGAAAGCCCGGAGCUCAACUCCGGAAUUGCCAUUGAAACUGUUGAACUUGAGUACGAGAGAGGUGAGUGGAAUUCCCAGUGUAGAGGUGAAAUUCGUAGAUAUUGGGAAGAACACCGGUGGCGAAGGNGGCUCACUGGCUCGUUACUGA